rnacentral:lncRNA from 1 species
AGAUCAACCAUUGAAAGUAUUUAGUGGGCAUACAGCAAAAGUGUUUCAUGUUAAAUGGUCUCCUCUGAGAGAGGGAAUUCUUUGCAGUGGUUCUGAUGAUGGUACCGUUCGAAUCUGGGAUUAUACUCAGGAUGCUUGCAUCAAUAUUCUUAAUGGACACACUGCACCUGUGAGAGGAUUAAUGUGGAAUACUGAGAUUCCAUAUCUGCUCAUAUCUGGCAGCUGGGACUAUACUAUAAAAGUAUGGGACACUCGAGAAGGAACUUGUGUGGAUACUGUGUAUGAUCACGGUGCAGAUGUAUAUGGUUUAACCUGCCAUUCCAGUCGCCCCUUCACUAUGGCCUCUUGCUCCCGUGACUCUACAGUGAGACUGUGGUCAUUAACAGCCUUAGUCACUCCUGUACAAAUAAAUAUUCUGGCAGACAGAUCUUGGGAAGAAAUUAUUGGGAACACUGG